rnacentral:rRNA from 1 species
CCUACGGGUGGCAGCAGUGGGGAAUAUUGCACAAUGGGGGGAACCCUGAUGCAGCAACGCCGCGUGGGUGAAGAAGUACUCCGGUAUGUAAAGCCCUGUCAGCAGGGAAGAAAAUGACGGUACCUGACCAAGAAGCCCCGGCUAACUACGUGCCAGCAGCCGCGGUAAUACGUAGGGGGCAAGCGUUAUCCGGAUUUACUGGGUGUAAAGGGAGCGUAGACGGCAAGGCAAGUCUGGAGUGAAAGCCCGGGGCCCAAGCACGGGACUGCUUUGGAAACUGUGUUGCUGGAGUGUAGGAGGGGUAAGCGGAAGUCCUAGUGUAGCGGUGAAAUGCGUAGAUAUCGCGCAGAACUCCGAUUGCGAAGGCAGCGUACCGGCGCCGGACUGACGCUGAGGCACGAAAGCGUGGGUAUCGAACAGGAUUAGAUACCCCGGUAGUC